GGCACAAACGGCGAGUCAGCGCACGCCACGUGGGUGCUGAAGAGAAUCGUACGCACGCGCACAUAUCAUCACGCUCUCUCUCUCUCUCUCCUCUGCCCUUUUCUUUUUCGCUUUAGUUUACACAUAGAGCGGUGGAGACGGCCAAAGCCACUUUUACCCUUUCCAUAGACCGUGUUAGCUUUCACACACGAUAACCUCUUUAUGUAUUCUAGGCGUGUGUGUGUGUGUGUGUGUGUGUGUGUUGCUGUUUCUUCCUCUCCUUUCUCUUCUAGUCUCCCCGCUUUAUCGAGUGCAUCAUCUGCUCACACUUCACUGUCACCUCUGUUCAUCUCCCUCCCUCCGCGCAGCCCUGGUCCCUUUUCUCUCAACGCCCCACAACACGUGCUCAGUCAAGUCCCCUCAGUCGCGCACCCACGCCAUCACCACCACCGCAUCAUCUCAUCUCUCAGGCUCUCCCCACCCCCCACCCCACCCCGCUUUGAUCCCAACCUGUUGUUGGUUUGCGGUUUUUAUUUUCCGGACGUCAUGCUAGGCCGUGGAGUGCAUUCGGUGCUGUCGUCUCUCAGGCUCUCCUGGCGUUUCUCUUCUCCGUCGAGGGCGCGUUUCGCCCACGCACACCCUCACUUUGUGGCUGCAUGUCUUUGUCAGCGUGUGAAGUAUGCAGGUGGAUCUUCGACGUCGCGGGCUGCAGUCCUUCGACCCCGCCGAGUUCGCCAAUACGGACGAGCACCUACAUCUCCUUCUGCAGGUGCGGCAGCUGGAUCUCUCGCACAACUCGCUGUACACCAUCCGUGGACUUGAAGGGCUGACCCAUUUGACUGUGCUGAACGUUUCUCACAACGGGCUGCGCUCCCUCGGUGGUGGACUUCCGCUGACGCUGCGCGAACUCGAUGCAUCGCACAACAACCUCGCCUCACUCCGGAAUGCCGCUCUUCUGCCGUUGCAGUCUCUUACCUCUCUUAAUGUUUCCUUCAACGAUCUGGAAGACCUGCGAGGGGUCCCCAACGUGACGGCGCAGCUGACGUACCUCGACGUGCGGUGCAAUCGACUCGGCUCCCUGAUAGGGAUCGAGCACUGCGGUCAGUUGCGCACACUUCACGCAGAGGGUAACCUCUUGCGAGAGUUGGCAGACGUCGCCUCCCUCAAGUCUCUCUCACUCUUGAGCGCCGUCUUUCUCUCCGGCAACCCCCUGCUCCUGCGCAAGCGCUUGCUCACUCAACUCCAUCUCCUGCUGCCCUCCAGUGUCGAGCAGGACGACUUGCCCACGACGGCGCCUCCCAGCAGUGUCCGCAGCUCGACAGCGGCACCUCCCUCCGUUGCAGACACGUCGUCCGUCGGCUCGCUCGAUCACAGCACCAUGGCUUCUGUCGGUGAGAAUCGCAAGGAAGGGCGUUGCGGCAGCGGGCAGAACAGCCGGCCAGCAAGCGCGCACCAAGGAACAGUACUAUCCAUGCGCGACACCACCGGCAUGCGUGAUUCUUCCGAAACGCUGGAGAGAACGGCACCGCGACACGACCACCCCUCUUCCCCACGGAGCCAUCACCGUCUGCCUCAUCGUGGCACGUCCGACAGCGCUCGCCCGUCGUAUUUAUCUGCGGCAGCUCCAACCACUACCACCGCCUCUGCCGCCUCUACUGGGGUGGUGGGAGGCUCGUCAGAUAGCCUAGCAUGCCCGCGUCGUGCCCUACCGCAUGAGCACCGCCUCACAGAAACCCCCGGCUCCGCCUCCUUGUCCUCCUCACCUGACCGCACGCACGUGUCGUGGUCCCCUGGGCCAUUGCACAGCAGCAACGGUCGAGGUUCGCUGACUACAAGUCUCUUCCCAGGCGCCGCAUCAUCGCCUCACCAAUACGGCGCCGUCGUCGCCGCACCGCAAGCCACGCGGUACGGCGAAAGUCACAGCAGUCAGCUCGUCCGGGAUGACCUGGAGGAGCAGCUCGUGCGCGUCACUGCGGAGCGGGACGACUAUCGACGCGAGGUCGUUGCCCUGCGGAGAGAGCUUCAAGAGCUGCGGCUAAAGUUUGCACGGCAGUGCUCGCAAGAGAGGGCGGAGGACCGGGAAGGGCUAGCACAGGCAUCUUUGCGCUCCGCAGCAGCAGCUCCGGGUCACGGAGAGGGGGAUUCACGCGGUGCGCAUAGAAUGCCUCGCCACCCACAACAGCAGCAGCAGCAGCAGCAGCGGUCGCCGUCGGUGCGUAUCUUAGCGGUGGAGAUGUCCGCCCACUCGUCGCUUUGCUCGCAGGACGGCGAGAGCGACACCCCCGAUGCGUCCAACAACGACCUCCGCAGCGCACCGCAGAACUCCGCCGCCAUGAGCAGCUCAGUGGGUACAUCGAAGAUGGACAGGCGCGAGAUUGCGGCUCUCUUUAUGACAAAAUUGCAGCAGAGCAGCUCUUCCUCGAAAUGAACGGGUGGGAGGGGGGGCGCCCGGCCUCCUCUCCCACCUCCCCUUCUGCGCCAAACGUGCUGUGGGUUGUGUCGCUUGAUGUCGCUUUCAGAAUUCGUGUUGCUACAGGUGCGAGGGUGCGUGUAAGAAAAGGUUCAGUGAUGGAGUGGUCAGGCUGUAUGCGCGGCUUUACUGUAUGCAGCCCCAUCGACCCAUACGCACGUUGUCGCAUGUCGUUCGGAUAGUUGGUUGUGUGCGUGCGUUCCUUUGGAAUGAAAAGGGCGUGCGAACACGAAAAAAAGAUUUUGCAUCGGUGGCGCACUCCCUCUCUUUCACCCGCUAACGCGGAAGGCGCGUACUCUG
rnacentral:misc_RNA from 1 species